AGUGAACGCUGGCGGUAGGCCUAACACAUGCAAGUCGAACGGCGGCACAGUAAGAGCUUGCUCUUACGGGUGGCGAGUGGCGGACGGGUGAGGAAUACAUCGGAAUCUACUUUUUCGUGGGGGAUAACGUAGGGAAACUUACGCUAAUACCGCAUACGACCUACGGGUGAAAGCAGGGGAUCUUCGGACCUUGCGCGAUUGAAUGAGCCGAUGUCGGAUUAGCUAGUUGGCGGGGUAAAGGCCCACCAAGGCGACGAUCCGUAGCUGGUCUGAGAGGAUGAUCAGCCACACUGGAACUGAGACACGGUCCAGACUCCUACGGGAGGCAGCAGUGGGAAUAUUGGACAAUGGGCGCAAGCCUGAUCCAGCCAUACCGCGUGGGUGAAGAAGGCCUUCGGGUUGUAAAGCCCUUUUGUUGGGAAAGAAAAGCAGCAGGUUAAUACCCCGCUGUUCUGACGGUACCCAAAGAAUAAGCACCGGCUAACUUCGUG
rnacentral:rRNA from 1 species